UGCAAGUCGGACGAGAAAGCCGGGGCAACCUGGUGAGUACAGUGGCGUACGGGUGAGUAACACGUGGGUGAUCUACCUCUUAGUGGGGAAUAACCCUGGGAAGCCGGGGCUAAUACCGCAUAAGCCCGAGAGGGGAAAGCAGCAAUGCGCUGAGAGAGGAGCCCGCGGCCGAUUAGCCAGUUGGUGAGGUAAAAGCUCACCAAAGCAAAGAUCGGUAGCCAGCCUGAGAGGGCACACGGCCACACUGGCACUGAAACACGGGCCAGACUCCUACGGGAGGCAGCAGUGGGGAAUCUUGCACAAUGGGGGAAACCCUGAUGCAGCGACGCCGCGUGAGCGAUGAAGCCCUUCGGGGUGUAAAGCUCUUUCGGCAGGGACGAUAAUGACGGUACCUGCAGAAGCAGCUGCGGCUAACUACGUGCCAGCAGCCGCGGUAAUACGUAGGCAGCAAGCGUUGUUCGGAGUUACUGGGCGUAAAGGGUGUGUAGGCGGUUCUUUAAGUUUGGUGUGAAAUCUCCCGGCUUAACUGGGAGGGUGCGCCGAAUACUGAGGAGCUAGAGUGCGGGAGAGGAUAGUGGAAUUCCUGGUGUA
rnacentral:rRNA from 1 species